rnacentral:rRNA from 1 species
AGCAGCCGCGGUAAUUCCAGCUCCAAUAGCGUAUAUUAAAGUUGUUGCAGUUAAAAAGCUCGUAGUUGAAUUUCGGGAUUGACGUGACGGUCGUGCCUUAAGGGGCGUGAACUGUCGCCGUUGAUUUCUCACCUUCUGGAGAAGCUCGAUGUCCUUAAUUGGAUGUCUUGUGGAACCAGGACCUUUACCUUGAAAAAUUAGAGUGUUUAAAGCAGGCAUUUUGCUCGAAUACAUUAGCAUGGAAUAAUAGAAUAGGACGGCAUGGUUCUAUUUUGUUGGUUUCUAGGAUCACCGUAAUGAUUAAUAGGGAUAGUUGGGGGCAUUAGUAUUCAAUUGUCAGAGGUGAAAUUCUUGGAUUUAUUGAAGACUAACUACUGCGAAAGCAUUUGCCAAGGAUGUUUUCAUUAAUCAAGAACAAAAGUUAGGGGAUCGAAGACGAUCAGAUACCGUCGUAGUCUUAACCAUAAACUAUAGCCGACUAGGAAUCAGACGAUGUUAAUUUUUA